rnacentral:rRNA from 1 species
CAGCCGCCGCGGGAAAACGUAGGGUGCGAGCGUUAAUCGGAAUUACUGGGCGUAAAGCGUGCGCAGGCGGUUAUAUAAGACAGAUGUGAAAUCCCCGGGCUCAACCUGGGACCUGCAUUUGUGACUGUAUAGCUAGAGUACGGUAGAGGGGGAUGGAAUUCCGCGUGUAGCAGUGAAAUGCGUAGAUAUGCGGAGGAACACCGAUGGCGAAGGCAAUCCCCUGGACCUGUACUGACGCUCAUGCACGAAAGCGUGGGGAGCAAACAGAAUUAGAUACCCGAGUAGUCCCUGUCUCUUAUAC